rnacentral:rRNA from 1 species
GACGAACGCUGGCGGCGUGCCUAAUACAUGCAAGUAGAACGCACAGUUUAUACCGUAGCUUGCUACACCAUAAACUGUGAGUUGCGAACGGGUGAGUAACGCGUAGGUAACCUGCCUGGUAGCGGGGGAUAACUAUUGGAAACGAUAGCUAAUACCGCAUAAUAUUAAUUAUUGCAUGAUAAUUGAUUGAAAGAUGCAAUUGCAUCACUACCAGAUGGACCUGCGUUGUAUUAGCUAGUAGGUGAGGUAACGGCUCACCUAGGCGACGAUACAUAGCCGACCUGAGAGGGUGAUCGGCCACACUGGGACUGAGACACGGCCCAGACUCCUACGGGAGGCAGCAGUAGGGAAUCUUCGGCAAUGGACGAAAGUCUGACCGAGCAACGCCGCGUGAGUGAAGAAGGUUUUCGGAUCGUAAAGCUCUGUUGUAAGAGAAGAACGGGUGUGAGAGUGGAAAGUUCACACUGUGACGGUAUCUUACCAGAAAGGGACGGCUAACUACGU